GAUGAACGCUAGCGAUAGGCCUAACACAUGCAAGUCGAGGGGCAUCACAAAGAGUAGCAAUACUUUUGGUGGCGACCGGCGGAUGGGUGAGUAACACGUAUGCAACCUACCUUCUACAUUGGGAUAACCCGUUGAAAGACGGACUAAUACCGAAUAAUACAGGGGCGCCACAUGGUGAUAUUUGUUAAAGUUUCGAGCAAUCGAUUCGGUAGAAGAUGGGCAUGCGUAUGAUUAGCUAGUUGGUGAGGUAACGGCUAACCAAGGCAACGAUCAGUAGGGGUUCUGAGAGGGAGGUCACCCACACUGGUACUGAGACACGGACCAGACUCCUACGGGAGGCAGCAGUGAGGAAUAUUGGUCAAUGGGCGCGAGCCUGAACCAGCCAAGUCGCGUGAAGGAAGACUGUCCUAUGGAUUGUAAACUUCUUUUGUACAGGAAUAAAGUGUUCUACGUGUAGGAUUUUGCAUGUACUGUACGAAUAAGGAUCGGCUAACUCCGUGCCAGCCGCCGCGGUAACAC
rnacentral:rRNA from 1 species